rnacentral:rRNA from 1 species
UGUGUGGCAUACGGCUCAGUAACACGUAGUCAACAUGCCCAGGGGACGUGGAUAACCUCGGGAAACUGAGGAUAAACCGCGAUAGGUCACUACUUCUGGAAUGGGUAAUGACCCAAACCUAUAUGGCCCCUGGAUUGGACUGCGGCCGAUCAGGCUGUUGGUGAGGUAAUGGCCCACCAAACCUGUAACCGGUACGGGCUCUGAGAGGAGGAGCCCGGAGAUGGGCACUGAGACAAGGGCCCAGGCCCUAUGGGGCGCAGCAGGCGCGAAACCUCUGCAAUAGGCGAAAGCUUGACAGGGUUACUCUGAGUGAUUUCCGUUAAGGAGAUCUUUUGGCACCUCUAAAAAUGGUGCAGAAUAAGGGGUGGGCAAGUCUGGUGUCAGCCGCCGCGGUAAUACCAGCACCCCGAGUGGUCGGGACGUUUAUUGGGCCUAAAGCAUCCGUAGCCGGUUCCACAAGUCUUCCGUUAAAUCCACCUGCUUAACAGAUGGGCUGCGGAAGAUACUAUGGAGCUAGGAGGCGGGAGUGGCAAGCGGUACUCGAUGGGUAGGGGUAAAAUCCGUUGAUCCAUUGAAGACCACCAGUGGCGAAGGCGGCUUGCCAGAACGCGCUCGACGGUGAGGGAUGAAAGCUGGGGGAGCAAACCGGAUUAGAUACCCGGGUAGUCCCAGCUGUAAACGAUGCAGACUCGGUGAUGAGUUGGCUUUAUGCCAACUCAGUGCCGCAGGGAAGCCGUUAAGUUUGCCGCCUGGGGAGUACGGUCGCAAGACUGAAACUUAAAGGAAUUGGCGGGGGAGCACCACAAGGGGUGAAGCCUGCGGUUCAAUUGGAGUCAACGCCGGG